UACAGAGGGUGCAAGCGUUAAUCGGAUUUACUGGGCGUAAAGCGUGCGUAGGUGGUGACAUCAGUCGGAUGUGAAAGCCCUGGGCUUAACCUGGGAACUGCAUUCGAUACUGUGUGACUAGAGUUCGGUAGAGGGCGGCGGAAUUCCGGGUGUAGCGGUGAAAUGCGUAGAUAUCCGGAGGAACACCGAUGGCGAAGGCAACCGCCUGGGCCUGAACUGACACUGAGGCACGAAAGCGUGGGGAGCAAACAGG
rnacentral:rRNA from 1 species